AAGGGAGACCUAAUUCGGGUAUAAGACGAAAAAAGAGUAGUCGAAACCAAGAAUCAAUCCCAAAAGGUCGGAACGAGGUAUGUGGCUUUCAAACUAGGUUCUGGGUUCACACAAGACCUGAAUCAGGAACAAGGGCUAUUAGCCCAGGUGGUUAGAGCGCACCCCUGAUAAGGGUGAGGUCCCUGGUUCGAGUCCAGGAUGGCCCACCUGCACAGGUGGCAAAAACAAAGAAGCGAGGAAUCAGCACCUUAUCUUAUCUAUAUAUAAGAGAGAAUGCUGGCUCUGAGUAAAGAGUCCAGAGGAACCUUGAAAACUGCAUAGAGCUAGGUGAAAAAGCCAAAAAAGAAGACCGCAA
rnacentral:tRNA from 1 species